rnacentral:lncRNA from 1 species
ACUUACUUUAGAGAAAUGUCCUUAAUUUUUGCAACUUGCCUGUGGGGAAAGAAAUGAUCUUUUAUUGUAUUUAGUCAUUAUUAAGCCUAUUUAUAGGCUGGUCAUUAAAGUACCCCUACCUGCUAUCCAGUCGAUGUUCUGAAAGCUAAUUAGCUAAGUAACUAGAGCAAAUCCACUAUUAGGUAUGCAGGGAAGGUAGCACUGACACAAACCAACAACAGGGGCCAACAAUUAAGCAGAUGGACAGUUCUCCAAAUGACUCUGGAAUUUAUGGUGUGAAAUGACCUUUGGAGGCAAGGGAGUUUUGCUGGUUAUUUGAAUGGCACCAGGAUUUUGGCUUAGCUUCUGAGGCCAACAGGAGCCAUGGACGUAUCUAGAGAUGGCUCUGGAAAAGCUGCAGGGUAGAAGAGCUCACCUGUGAUACAACACCCACGGAGAGAAAAGAGUUCAGAGGAGGCAAAGCCGGGAGACCAGGCUAAGGUUUCAUAGCUGAAACUUUGCAGCAUGUUUUAAAGGCAGCCAAGAGGGAAGUGUAAUGGCUCUCCUGGAAGUUGUUCAAAAGCCACUCCCAUCAACUGCAUCGGACACUUAUAUAAGGCACCAAAAGCAAUUUCCAGUCAAGUAUAAGGUUACUUUUGCCUUCCAGGCCAGACUCUUUUGCAGGUUUAUUAACAACAC